AAGUUGACAAGUUGUAACAUACAUAGGUAAAUCAUUUCAUCUGAUCAACAAUCAACGUUAAGCUAGCUUCGAAAAUUACCAAUGAUUCAUAGUCAGAGUAAACGUGAAAGUCGUGCAACCUACUGUCAACUAUUUUGUUCAAACUCAUUGUAUUCUACUGAAUGUGUCAUCAAAAUGAUACAGGAUUAAUCUUAAUUAUCGGCUGUUUCUAUUGAACUUGCUAGAUCACCGACCCCAGCAU
rnacentral:lncRNA from 1 species